rnacentral:rRNA from 1 species
AUUGAACGCUGGCGGCAGGCCUAACACAUGCAAGUCGAGCGGAUGACGGGAGCUUGCUCCUUGAUUCAGCGGCGGACGGGUGAGUAAUGCCUAGGAAUCUGCCUGGUAGUGGGGGACAACGUUUCGAAAGGAACGCUAAUACCGCAUACGUCCUACGGGAGAAAGCAGGGGACCUUCGGGCCUUGCGCUAUCAGAUGAGCCUAGGUCGGAUUAGAUAGUUGGUGAGGUAAUGGCUCACCAAGGCGACGAUCCGUAACUGGUCUGAGAGGAUGAUCAGUCACACUGGAACUGAGACACGGUCCAGACUCCUACGGGAGGCAGCAGUGGGGAAUAUUGGACAAUGGGCGAAAGCCUGAUCCAGCCAUGCCGCGUGUGUGAAGAAGGUCUUCGGAUUGUAAAGCACUUUAAGUUGGGAGGAAGGGCAGUAAGUUAAUACCUUGCUGUUUUGACGUUACCGACAGAAUAAGCACCGGCUAACUCUGUGCCAGCAGCCGCAGUAA